GACGAACGCUGGCGGCGUGCCUAAUACAUGCAAGUAGAACGCUGAAGGAGGAGCUUGCUUCUCUGGAUGAGUUGCGAACGGGUGAGUAACGCGUAGGUAACCUGCCUGGUAGCGGGGGAUAACUAUUGGAAACGAUAGCUAAUACCGCAUAAGAGUAGAUGUUGCAUGACAUUUGCUUAAAAGGUGCAAUUGCAUCACUACCAGAUGGACCUGCGUUGUAUUAGCUAGUUGGUGGGGUAACGGCUCACCAAGGCGACGAUACAUAGCCGACCUGAGAGGGGGAGCGGCCACACUGGGACUGAGACACGGCCCAGACUCCUACGGGAGGCAGCAGUAGGGAAUCUUCGGCAAUGGACGGAAGUCUGACCGAGCAACGCCGCGUGAGUGAAGAAGGUUGUCGGAUCGUAAAGCUCUGUUGUAAGAGAAGAACGAGUGUGAGAGUGGAAAGUUCACACUGUGACGGUAUCUUACCAGAAAGGGACGGCUAACUACGUG
rnacentral:rRNA from 1 species